GUUCUAACAUUGAGGUGUGUUCCGCCUCCUCGUUAAUUCGCAUAAGAAGUAGCCCAUUUCACUGUUGCGGACAGACUUCUCUCUUCAACAAGAGCCCAAGCACCCCCCUAGUGUUUCCCAGAUCAAGUAUGAAGAUACUGCGCUUCUCUAGUCAGAACAGGCACAAACGUUUUCCCCCCAGCACAUUUUCUGGCUGGCAAACGCAUUGCCUUCAUGGUGUUUUCUUGCAAAUUGGACUUUGGACAUGUGUGCAUUCCUAUCAAACGAAUCACGGGGAUCGGGGCCUGGUCUGCAGUAUAUCCCUUGCGUCCGACUCAUUGAAGAAGAACUCCUCAUCCAAUUUGAGAUCAUGUGAUGUCUCGCAGCGCAGUGAGCCAGACAACAGAGGAAAUGUGCUGCUCAACAUCUGAUCCUGGUGCUGCUGCGUCAUCGGCCGGAUGGAAGCAACCUGCCCUCAUUCUAAGGUUGUAUUGUAUUUGAACACAUUCAACAAACACAGAAAAAGAGAAUGACAUGUCAGGUCUACGCCUCUCCAGCGCUCGACGUCGCCGGUCUGCUAACCACCGGUCCUGGCUACCAGUCAUUACGCACACCUGGCAACCCUCAUUACGCACACCUGCGCCCCAUCAUGAUGCACACCUGGACUCCAUCACUACCCUGAUUACUCCCCCUUUAUCUAGCAUCACUCUUCAGGCAGUUUUGUUUCAGUUUCCAUGUCCAGACGCUGCUCUUGGUUUGUACUCCCUUAUAGAGUGUGCUCCUAAUCUCAGCUCGUUACCUGUAUAAAAAAGACACCUGGGAGCCAGAAAUCUUUCUGAUUGAGAGGAGGUCAAAUACUUAUUUCCCUCAUUAAAAUGCAAAUCAAUUUAUAACAUUUCUGACAUGCGUUUUUCUGGAUAUUUUUGUUGUUAUUC